GACACUCUACGUUGUUAAACUUGUUCUAUAUAAAAUGUGCUAAAAUCCAAACAGAUUAUCUAAUUGUAAGCAUGCUCAAAUGAUUAUUUAGUAGCUGCUUCCAACAGUUUUAAUAGGACACCUCUUUACCUCCUUUUUGACAUUAUACAAUCAGACACUCUAAUGAGUUCAAAUGCAUGCAGCGCUUGCAAUAUUUACAUCAGUCUUGAUCAUACAGCUGUGUUCUCUGUGUUGCAGUAAAACAGCAUAGUUCCAGUGCAUUCAUAUUUAUUGGCAUGUUGUAUGCACAAAUAACAUUUGGAUCAGAGGUGAAGAAUAAAAUUAGGAUUAGUUGAAAAAGCAAAAUAAAAGGCUAUGAGCCAUUUAUUGCCUAACAACUCCAGAAGAUAUGUAGCAAAUCAUUCUUUUUCAGCUGUCCGGUGCAAAAUUUUCCAAGCUACUAAAUAUAAUUUUAAGCGGUGAUUUAAUAACUUGAAAUCUAAAUCUUGCUAAAAAGAAAGGGUAUUAAUCCAAGUGCCAAGUCACAUUUGGAAAUUAUUCUCUGGUACUUCUGAACAUUUUAUAUGGUUUAUAAUUUAUUGUCUAAAUGGUUUAAUGCAAGUAUAUUAUUGUCAUAAUAUCAUGACAAAUCACAAAUUGUAUUUCUGAGAUGGGAUCAUAGAUGAUUACUACUAACAAUCAAUCCUCCUCUCUAAACAUGUGGCCGGCCUUCAGCAAAACCAGGAGUUUUUGGUUUAGCUCUACAGCUAUGGAAGCUUUCUGAGCAGUAUAGCAGUUACGUGAUACAUUCGAUUCCCCUGAAAUCACCAUUUCACACAUGACUAUCUUGUCCUGUCUAGUAAUUCAGGCAUUCCUUAUCUCCAUAAACCUGAUAGAAAGUAUGAUUUCAAAUUAAUGCAGAGGACAAGAGGUUAGCAGGGUUGCAAAGAAGCAACAUAUGCAAAGAAGCAACAUAUAACAGAAGAGUUACUGUUGGCAUGCAAUGUAUGUUGCUUCGUGGCAUUGCUUUUGGAACUACGCCAGAAACAUGGCUAGAAGUCAACUUCCCACAACAGUAGUUUGAAGAACGCUAGUGGUUUGCUAGUAGCCACUUAUGAUGAUGCAAAGCCUUCUAGGUACUCCUUUGCGCUCAUCGCUUUGCCUAAGGCCAUCUUGUGAUUAUCACACAGCUGGCUUGGCACAGCAGUUUUUCAGUAAUCUUCCAGUCUCCAGCUUCAGGAGACGACAAAUCAGCAGGGACCGCUAAAGCCUUGCCUUAGGACUCUGCUGCAAGUGCAGCCCAGCCCCAUCCUGUAGGGGAGCAUUAAAAUCCCUGAAAUUGUAGUAUUUGGCCUGUGAAUCACUGCCAGAACGUCCCUUCUGUUCAAGGUUCUGGUAUACAUUUCAUGACUUUCAUAGAUAAGAAGAUUUUUAAUACAGGAUCAAGAAUAUUGGCUAGGAGACAGUACGUUGCCAUUAAAGCAGCUACACAUCAUUAGGUAUGUAAUCUGAAAGCACCUGAACUAAAGAAAAUUCAGCUCAGUGACGUGACCUGAUAGUCUCUUCCUGAGAUUUUUUUCCUCCUACCUUUUGUACUGUCAAAUGUAACUGGAAGGAGACAAAUUAAUUUCAGAUUAAGCAAAUAGGUAAAUAUUGCUUUGCAAGUGUUAACUUUCUGGGAAAAUAUCUUCUGGUUUCUCACAGGACUGGCUUCUUCAAACAUGACAACAGAUUCUGCCAUAAAACCUAAUAGACAUGGUGCUAGAAGAAUGGGUUUGAGGUAUUCUUCCAUCAUUUCCUUUCUUUUCUGGAGUAGCCUUCAGAGCUCCAAGAAUGGCAUGAAAGGACUGUUUUGAGGUGAAAUGAGGUGAUAUGUUACUGUAAUUUUACAUGUGGGGAACCAAGGCUCAGAGAGAUUGUUUCAUACAUGAAAAAACUCAACUUCAAUUCACUUCAGUUGGAUGUGCAAGAACAACACUUCUGAAAAUUCAACCCCAGGUCCUCAAACAGUACCCCAGAAAGGAUACAUACAAUUAAAGAAUGCAUAACAUGGAUGAUGUGCAGCAAAUGAAUAUUGGCGGGACAGCUGUCAGAAUCCUGCACGAGAUGACAACCAAGGAAGAACAUGGUUGCAAGUGAAAGGAUAACUGACAUUUCUAAGUCCUUCCAUAGAUGAAACCUGCACUGGAACUGGAAGUUUCACAUAAGUAAGGACUACAGAACGCGGCCCAUGAGGAGAUGAUAAUCUCAGACUCAGACAACUCAUCAACUGACCUUGAACAUGUAGAAGAAAAUUGCCGAUAAAGAUGAUGAUGAGCCACUGGAGGUGAAAAAGAGAAUGGGAGAAGGGCCUUGCAAAAUAAGCGAAUGUAAAGACAAGAUACAAUGAAGGAGAAGUUUUCUGCAUAGCAAAUGGAAGGGAAUUUCAAGUGAAGGCUACAGAAUUCAAAAAAAUGCAAAACUGAAGAUGAAAAGACCAUUCAGGAGAGAAAAAUAUGAAAAAGCCCAAGGAGCAUGCAGUUGAAAAACAAACAAAUGUUACUCUAUUUCACCAACAUUAAGUGGAAAAAACAAAUCCCUAUCAACACAUCUGAAAUGACAAAAGAACAAACUAACUUAGCUAAUACGAUACCCUUGCUCUCAAGCUAUCCUGUUUAG